GAUGAACGCUGGCGGCGUGCCUAAUACAUGCAAGUCGAGCGAACAGACGAGGAGCUUGCUCCUCUGACGUUAGCGGCGGACGGGUGAGUAACACGUGGAUAACCUACCUAUAAGACUGGGAUAACUUCGGGAAACCGGAGCUAAUACCGGAUAAUAUAUUGAACCGUAUGGUUCAAUAGUGAAAGACGGUUUUGCUGUCACUUAUAGAUGGAUCCGCGCCGCAUUAGCUAGUUGGUAAGGUAACGGCUUACCAAGGCAACGAUGCGUAGCCGACCUGAGAGGGUGAUCGGCCACACUGGAACUGAGACACGGUCCAGACUCCUACGGGAGGCAGCAGUAGGGAAUCUUCCGCAAUGGGCGAAAGCCUGACGGAGCAAGCCGCGUGAGUGAUGAAGGUCUUCGGAUCGUAAAACUCUGUUAUUAGGGAAGAACAAAUGUGUAAGUAACUAUGCACGUCUUGACGGUACCUAAUCAGAAAGCCACGGCUAACUACGUG
rnacentral:rRNA from 1 species